rnacentral:rRNA from 1 species
AGUGAACGCUGGCGGUAGGCCUAACACAUGCAAGUCGAACGGCAGCACAGUAAGAGCUUGCUCUUACGGGUGGCGAGUGGCGGACGGGUGAGGAAUACAUCGGAAUCUACUUUUUCGUGGGGGAUAACGUAGGGAAACUUACGCUAAUACCGCAUACGACCUACGGGUGAAAGCAGGGGAUCUUCGGACCUUGCGCGAUUGAAUGAGCCGAUGUCGGAUUAGCUAGUUGGCGGGGUAAAGGCCCACCAAGGCGACGAUCCGUAGCUGGUCUGAGAGGAUGAUCAGCCACACUGGAACUGAGACACGGUCCAGAAUCCUAAGGGAGGCAGCAGUGGGGAAUAUUGGACAAUGGGCGCAAGCCUGAUCCAGCCAUACCGCGUGGGUGAAGAAGGCCUUCGGGUUGUAAAGCCCUUUUGUUGGGAAAGAAAAGCAGCAGGUUAAUACCCCGCUGUUCUGACGGUACCCAAAGAAUAAGCACCGGCUAACUGCGU